UUUUAUUUAUUAUUUUAUUUUUAUUACCUUUAUUUCCUUUUUAUUUAUUUCCUUUCCUUUUCAAUUUACUUUCCUUUUUCUUUUGUAUUGCUUUCUCCCUUUUUUGUUUUUCUCCCGAUGGCCUCUCGCACGCAUGAAAUCGAUGAUGAGAACAUCUCCCUCCCACAAUACGCGAAUAUUUCUGGAACCAUGUGUUGUUGCGUA
rnacentral:lncRNA from 1 species